AGGAUAGUAGUUUAUAAAAACAUUUAAAUUGCAAUUAAAAAUUAUCUUUUGAUCUAUCUUU
rnacentral:tRNA from 1 species